GCAGCUCCCCGCCCUGUCCCGCCGCGGCGCCCACCCCUUACCUGCACCCAACCGUGCCUGCGUCAGACGCCCACUGCCAGUGCCCUGGUGGGGCCCACGGCCAACCCUGACCCCAGGAGGCGCGAACCGGACGGCCGCGGGGCUCUCUGAGAGAUCCGAGACCCGGCUCUGACCCCACGCGGCUCUGGGAGGGGGGCACAGGUCUGGGGGAUGUGGAGCUUCGAGGUUCAGCUUACCCAGCGGCCGUGAGCAAAGGCAGGUAUGUUCCUGCCACCCACCUGGGGGCUUCAGGCCUGUCACCCACUGUGAUGGCAACAAGGACAUUAACAAUAACGAUAGAGAACAACGCACAACCCCCAGACCAGGCAGGGGUCUGCUGUCACCUGCAGUAGAGGAAGAGACGCCCGCACAGAGAAGGCAGGUAAUUUAUCCGAGAUUUCCCAACCAGCAGUUGGCGCGUCCAGGACCGGAACCAUGUGCUGUGGAGUCCAGCUUCCCUGGGGUUCUUUCCGCACACUUUCCCCCGCCCCUGCCUGGCCCUACGCUGCACCCUGGGCGCUCUGACCGCCACGCCUCCCCUGCCUGCACCCAGCACGUCUCUCUGACCCUUCUGCACACCGUCUCUGGCCUGUUACUGAGCCUCUGCCCCACUGUCACUUCGCUUGAAUGGAGAAAUCACCAUUUUUCUAUAAACUUUUUAAAAAUUUAUUCGUUUAUUUCUGAGUGAGAGAGAGAGAGAGAGCACGAGCUAGUGAGGGGCACAGAGACAGGGAGAGAGAAUGCCGAGCCUGGAGUGGACUCGAGCUCACCCAACACAGGGCUCGAACUCAUGAGCAGUGAGAUCACAGCCUGAGCCGAAGGCAGAUGCUCAGCCAACUGAGCCACCCAGGCGCCCUGAAAAAUCACGGUCACGGUGGUGCUCCACAGCAGCCUCUCCGUCUCCUCUGGACUUCCGUCCAUGCUGUUGCAUCAGGAACCCUGACUAAAGCAACCUCUAUACUCGAAGGAGUCCCCUCUUCCAGGAAGCCUUCCAGAAAAGAUUGCAACUGCAGAGGGCUUGGAAACCAACAUCCCAAGGCAGAGGAGAGCCGGGUGAGGGAGUGCCAGCAGCCAGGGUUUGGAGCUAUCAAGGCCCACACUGCCCAGCCUUCCCAAGCAAGUGAGAAGGCAGGUUCCCCAAUCCUGUCUCCAGACCAGGUGUUCACCUGACAGAGAAGAAGGCGCAUGUCCGUACAAAGACCGGUGCACGGAUGUGAUAGCCCCAAACCAGAAACCACACAGAUGUCCCACAAACAACCCAGGUUGACGUGCUGGAAGGACAGAGGAGAGCCCUCCACGGAGCGGUCGGGUCAGGACACAGCUGAGGGGACAGGCCUGCAGCACAUGGACGCCGCAUCAGUGUUUGUUGAAGCACAGGGCUGGCCUCCUUCCUGCAUCUGUUCUGGAACCACUGUUUGGCCAGACCGGGACCCACUUACUCCUUCCUCUUCGAGGGACACUGGGGGUGCUACCUGUGACUCUCAGCCACAGACAGCGUACGGGGGGCGGCCCCACGCACAUCCCUCUGAGAGCGAAGAAGAAAAUCGGAACAGCCAGUUUCUGCACAACGCAGAGGCCAGCACGCUCCCACGGUGAACCUUGAUGGCACCACCCCCGUCUCAGUCUGGCCCUUCAGGGAUCUUGGUUUUCUCGAGUACACUGCCCGGCCAGCCGGCUGGCCGGCCGGCCGAACUUGGGCAAGGAACACAAGGACACAGACACGUGCAGGAAGGAGGCAGCUGUGCACGAGCCCAGGAAAGAGGCCUCAAAGGAAGCAACCCUGCCCACACCUCGAUGUCAGACUGGCCUCUGGGGCUGGGAGAGAACUCGUUUCUGCAGUGGGAGCCAUGCGGGACUUUGUCACGCUCUGUCGUGACUACUGAGCUGGCUGAGACAGGUUUCAUGAAAGGACGGGAAAACCAUGCCUAGAACCCGGGGACUGCGCCUUUGGGUGACAAUAGCAGUCAGUGGGUAACGGUGCCCCACAGAGACACACGGACCGGGCCCCCCAGGCACUGAGGCACCCACGUGGGGCAAGAGGAACAGACCUCCCCCCGUCCUGAGCCCAACGUAGCCCCGGAGGGCAGCAGAGGAAGAGAGAUCAGAGCCACCACACCCGCACUCCUGCUCACAGGGCCCCCUCCCCGGCUGGCUGAGACCCCGGGCUGAAGGUCUCUGCUCCUCACCAGGUGGCCUCUCCACACCUUUCUGUCUCUGGACCGGUAAGGGUGCCCCCGCCCGCUCCAUCUGCCUGGGGCGGAGUAUGGGUGUGGAAAGGGGUCCCGGGGUCCUGUACAACCUGUGCAGCUUCCCUGCCCACGCCA